AAGCGUUGGCACAUGUGUGUUGCUUCAGAUGGAUCAUAUUUUGAAGGAGAUAAAAUUAAUUUGCCUGAAAUUUAACUCUAUUUUGUUUUAUUUAAAAAUUCCCGGUACUUUCUGAUCAUAGGGUAUAUGGCUAUGAAGAUUGGGGCAACAAUCGCACAAGCAAAGUCGCAGAUCAUGCUUUGGUAUUUAUGUUGCGUGGAUUAAAUACGGGGUGGAAAAUGCCAAUAUCCUACAAAUUUUGCUCGAAAACGACAAAUGCAGCCCAACUAAUUAGAUAUAUCAAAGAACACGUAUGUACAUAAAAUAAGCAAAGCAGGUUUCCACAUAAUUGCAACAGUCUGUGACCAAGGAGCUACAAAUACAGCCGCUAUUAAACACUUAUUAUUACAAACAAAUAUGAAACGGAAUUUAGAAAAAAGAACACAAGCUCAAACUUUUGAAAUUGGAAAUGUAGAGAUUGUUCCUUUAUACGAUCCUCCUCAUCUUAUUAAAGGAAUAAGAAACAAUUUCUUAACCAAAGAUCUUGCGAUUAGCUGCAACAGUUUUCAACGUGUAGCAUCGUGAGAUAUCGUGAAGACAGCAUGGAUAAUAGAUAAGAAGAUAAAUAUAAAACGUCCACAAUUUAAAAAAAUAACGCAAGAACAUAUUAUUGAGGACAAAAUUUAAAAAAUGCGUGUCAAGUAUGCAACGCAAGUGCUGAGUGGGACGGUUGCAAGCUGCAUUGAGACACUUACAAGAUCAAGAUGUGUCGUGCAGAUUGAUAAUAAUGAGGUAAAAAUUGAUAUGGAAGAAGGAAUCGCAACAGCAGAGGUAGUGAAUUUUUUUAAUGAUUUAUUCGACUCCGUGAACAGCAGUGAAACAACGAUUUGCGAUCUCCAGUGGUAGAGGACAAUGUACAUCAUGUGUUUUGGACGAAUGCAAAAGGUAUGUUCAGAAAUUUGUCUUACGUUGACAAGUAACACGCGAACUUAUUAAAUCAGUGCCAAGUUUAAAAAAUUGGUAACUUUUUCGGUCAAAUUAGAAGUCAUGCGGUCCGUAAUACAAAUCCAACACCUAAACAAUUUGAAGAUUCUUUCAUUACACUUCUAGUGAGUAACAUAAAAUCGGUAUCUAUUGUUGGCGGAAAUUGUGAAGCUAGCCAAGAUUCCUUCAUGUUAUUUUCCCUGGAAGAGUAUUUGGAAGAUAAUCUUUCAAAUGUUGAAGUUAGUGAUGAUAACAAACCGCAUGAAAUGUUUACUAAUGUUGUUAUUAGCAAAGAAUCAAGUACGGAAUUUUUACCAAAUUAUUUAGAUGAAGUUAUUACCGUCAUUGUCAAAGAACUUAAUUAUUGUGAAGAAUGUAAUGAUAGUUUAAAAAGUAAUGAAUUUUCAGUGUUUGCAAAACAAAUAGUAAGAAGUAUUAUUAAAUUGUUAGACACGCGAUC